GGAUGAGAGUCGAAAAUAUCAGUUGGCCGUAGAAAGGUAUGCGAAAGUUACUGUAGACAUGCCAAUAUCAAGACCCGUCAAGGCCUUAUACAGAUAUUUGGCUAAACCUGCAGACACGUCACUGUCAGGUCCUGAUGAGGAGGUGGAUGAAGAACAUCUCCUGGCGUUAAUUCAAGAGAUUGGAUAAUGGAGGUACGAUACCGAUUUCCUUCCUCGCUGUCCUUUUCCUCGAGUAAAUUGCAUAAUGGAGCAGUGCAGAAUCAAUUAUUUAUAGGGCCACUUAUCUUUUUUAUUUUUAUACAGCACA